rnacentral:lncRNA from 1 species
UUCUAAAGCUAUGACCGCAGCACUAGAAAAAAACAGAGACUGGAAAUGAGCUUAAGUACUGGACUGCUAAUUGCCCAUUAUGCUUAACUGCAAACAUGUGUCCUGGAGAAGGUUUGGCUCAAGUCAGCUCACACGGUCCCAGACAGAAUCCAGACCAGGAGAUGGUAUAACUGAAAUCUCAUCGGGAUUUACAAGAAGCAAUGACAGCGUCGGUGCUGGAGUUCAUGGAGACCCCUUGUCUCUGCUGCCUUCGGCUGCCGUGUCUUCCCUUCAGCACCGCACCAAUCCAGACUAACUGGGCGCGUCUUUAGGCUGCUGCCACCUUUGUGUUUGCCUGCGGACGUACAGCGAGAAGCCCGGCACCAGCAGACGCGCGGGUAAAACUGGGGUUACACACAGGUAACCGGGGCAGUGAAGGCUCCGCACAGAGCAGAUCGUGGGCUGGCUGCGGGCACCCCCUUCCCCGGACAGCCCAAGCCUCGGCGUUCCCCGUGCGGCG